rnacentral:rRNA from 1 species
CCUACGGGAGGCAGCAGUGGGGGAUAGUGCACAAUGGGGGGAACCCUGAUGCAGCGACGCCGCGUGGGGGAAGAAGGGCCUCGGCGCGUAAAGCCCUGUCAGCAGGGAAGAAAAUGACGGUAACUGAAGAAGAAGCCCCGGCUAACUAAGUGCCAGCAGCCGAGGUAAUACGUAGGGGGCAAGCGUUAUCCGGAGUUACUGGGUGUAAGGGGGGCGCAGACGGCGAUGCAAGCCAGGGGUGAAAGGCCGGGGCCCAACCCCGGGACUGCUCGUUGAACUGCGUGGCUGUAGUGCAGGAGGGGCAGGCGGAAUUCCUGGUGUAGCGGUGAAAUGCGUAGAUAUCAGGAGGAACACCGGUGGCGAAGGCGGCCUGCUGGACUGCAACUGACGUUGAGGCCCGAAAGCGUGGGGAGCAAACAGGAUUAGAUACCCGGGUAGUC